rnacentral:rRNA from 1 species
CCUACGGGAGGCUGCAGUGGGGAAUAUUGGACAAUGGGGGCAACCCUGAUCCAGCCAUGCCGCGUGUGUGAAGAAGGCCCUCGGGUUGUAAAGCACUUUCAGUGAGGAAGAACGCCUGGUGGUUAAUACACAUCAGGAAAGACAUCACUCACAGAAGAAGCACCGGCUAACUCCGUGCCAGCAGCCGCGGUAAUACGGAGGGUGCGAGCGUUAAUCGGAAUUACUGGGCGUAAAGCGCGCGUAGGUGGCUUGAUAAGCCGGUUGUGAAAGCCCCGGGCUCAACCUGGGAACGGCAUCCGGAACUGUCAAGCUAGAGUGCAGGAGAGGAAGGUAGAAUUCCCGGUGUAGCGGUGAAAUGCGUAGAGAUCGGGAGGAAUACCAGUGGCGAAGGCGGCCUUCUGGACUGACACUGACACUGAGGUGCGAAAGCGUGGGUAGCAAACAGGAUUAGAUACCCUUGUAGUC